AGUGAACGCUGGCGGUAGGCCUAACACAUGCAAGUCGAACGGCAGCACAGUAAGAGCUUGCUCUUACGGGUGGCGAGUGGCGGACGGGUGAGGAAUACAUCGGAAUCUACUUUUUCGUGGGGGAUAACGUAGGGAAACUUACGCUAAUACCGCAUACAACCUACGGGUGAAAGCAGGGGAUCUUCGGACCUUGCGCGAUUGAAUGAGCCGAUGUCGGAUUAGCUAGUUGGCGGGGUAAAGGCCCACCAAGGCGACGAUCCGUAGCUGGUCUGAGAGGAUGAUCAGCCACAGUGGAAAGGAGACACGGUCCAGACUCAGACGGGAGGCAGCAGUGGGGAGUAGUGGACAAGGGGCGCAAGCGUGAUCCAGCCAGACCGAGUGGGUGAAGAAGGCAUUCGGGUUCUAAAGCCCUUUUGUUGGGAAAGAAAAGCAGGAGGUGAAUACCUCGCUGUUCGGACGAUACCCAAAGAAUAAGCACCCGCUAACUUAGUG
rnacentral:rRNA from 1 species